GUAAUUUAUUAUGACACAGGUUGUCUAAAUGUUCUUUUAUCCAGGUCUUUUCAAUGUCGGCGAUAGUUAAAUGCCAUGAAAGUUUCGAUAAAGUAAAUAGAUUGAGUUCUAAUUUGUAUUUGGAGUGUAAAGGCAACAGGUCUAUCUUCUUGAGAAUAUUUUCCACAAUUUCCAGAAAUUCUCGCUUAUGAGCACUGCAUGUUAUCCAUCUGAAAAUUGAAAUACAUGUAUCUUCCUAAUUAUCCACCUAAUGUUAUCCAUCUGAGAAUUGAAAUACAUGUACAUGUAUCUUGCCCCCAUUAUCAACUGCUGAUAUUGGCUCUGUAUUAACAAAAACUUUCGGAAAUGUUUGCUUAGCUGCAGAAUUUAAUUUCUCUAUAUCUACCGAAUGUCUUGCGUUUGCCAACUCUGAUUUUUAUAUGAGUAUUUAACAAGAUCUGAUUUUCGUCCAAUUGUCCCGUUAUAACUGCCCCGUCGUUGGCAAGCUGAUAUCCAUGUUUCGGGCAUAAGUAUUCGGAAUACGAGUAUUCUAUCUUGUUAAACCUCUUUGAUAUUAUGUACUAACUAAAUAAUAACUAAUUUUUAAUAAUAUAACAAAGGUUUGACCAGCAGAUUAAAUAACAGUAGGCUUAGUCGAUCACCUUGUGGAACGCCUUUCUCGACGUGCAUAUAAAUUCGAUGAUAGAAGUUACUCUUGACAAAAUUAAUUUGGUAUAACCGACUACAGGCAUGCGUUGUGCUGAGAGUUCGCUGGGCAAGAGGGGAUAUUAUGGAUAUUAUGGAUAUUUCAAUCCCACUUUCUACCUGUCCUUAGUGUUCUAAUUGAAUAUUUACAGGUGUGUCUGUCAGGUUGCGAGGACCAUCAAGUUCAAAUGGAACUGGUCGUGUGGAAGUACUCUAUAAUGGACGAUGGGGAACAAUCUGUCAUUAUAGUUGGGACAUAAAUGAUGCUAACGUUGUUUGUCGUCAACUUGGUUAUAAAAACGCCCUUAGAGCUCUUCGGGGAUACCAAGUUCCUGAUGGUACUGGACAAAUAUGGUUAAAUUAUGUCAGAUGUACUGGAAAAGAAGAAAAUUUAAUUAGUUGUUCUCAUAAUGGUUGGGGAAAUACUUAUUGCAGCCAUUAUCAGGACGCAGGAGUAGAAUGUUCAUUAACAG
rnacentral:lncRNA from 1 species